rnacentral:rRNA from 1 species
GAUGAGCGCUAGCGGGAGGCCUAACACAUGCAAGCCGAGCGGUAUGGGUAGCUUGCUACCCAGAGAGCGGCGUACGGGUGCGUAACACGUGUGCAACCUGCCCCUAUCCGGGGGAUAGCCCUCCGAAAGGAGGAUUAAUACCCCAUAAUAUAUCUGGUGGCAUCACUAGAUAUUGAAAACCCCGGUGGAUAGGGAUGGGCACGCGCAAGAUUAGAUAGUUGGCGGGGUAACGGCCCACCAAGUCGAUGAUCUUUAGGGGUCCUGAGAGGGAGAUCCCCCACACUGGUACUGAGACACGGACCAGACUCCUACGGGAGGCAGCAGUGAGGAAUAUUGGACAAUGGGUGGAAGCCUGAUCCAGCCAUCCCGCGUGAGGGACGACGGCCCUAUGGGUUGUAAACCUCUUUUGUACGGGGAUAAACCUAUCUACGUGUAGAUAGCUGAAGGUACCGUACGAAUAAGCACCGGCUAACUCCGUG